UUCUGUACAGACUGUAGCGUGCUCACCACCAAAGGUCUAGUUUCCAUUCGUCACCGUACAAUUGAUCUCCUUUACCCAUUUUGCCCUCCCCCC